UGCGGCCCCGGCAUGGGCAGCGAGGGGGCUUUGCUGUAAAAUGGGACUUCUAAUUGUGCUCACUGGACUGUGGCUGUACUCCUCAGUAAAAGCAGAUUCAAAAGCCAUUACAACCUCUCUCACAACAAAGUGGUUUUCCUACCCACUGCUGUUAGAAGCCAGCUGUGGAGUAGAGUGAGAGUUGUACACCCCAGUGUUGACAAGUAAUGGGAAAGUCUUCCUUUGGCUAGUGAGUUUUUAGCAGAAGACAGUCAAGAGAAAUUUUGGAAUUUUGUAGAAGCCAGUCAAAAUAUUGGAUCAUCAGAUCAUCACGGUACUAAUAAUUAUUCCUAUUAUCAUGCAAUAUUGGAAGCUGCAUUUCAGUUUCUAUCACCUCUACAGCAGAAUUUGUUGAAAUUUUGUCUGUCUCUUCGUUC